rnacentral:misc_RNA from 1 species
ACUCUUCAACCCACCGGUUUCUAGUAAAUUGGAUGGUGUUUGGAUUUUGAGUGUUGCUGGUCCUUUCGGACGUAGCUCAUUCGUAAUAUAUUAGCAUCUCAAUUUCGAACUUCGGAUUGACUCAGCGUAAUAGACUAUUCGCUGAGGACACCUCACGGUGGCCGAAUAAAAAGACAGUUAGAAGCUUCUAAUCAGAUCUUAGUCAACUUUUAG